AUCCAGCCGGCGAGUCCAAAGUAGGACGAAACGCACGUCCUGGAU
rnacentral:hammerhead_ribozyme from 1 species